rnacentral:lncRNA from 1 species
GGGAAACAUCAAAAGUUCAACGUAAGCCAGCGUUUUACAUACAUUUUAAUACGUUGCCAUUGCUGGCUUAAACGUCAAGGUGUGAUUGGGCCUUAAAAUUAGCAGAGAUAAAAUAAUUCAAAGAAAGAUUAAUGACAGAAGCAUUGGGAAUAUCCUUCAUUUUCAACAUAAUUGUGUUCAUGGUGAACCUUUUAUUUACCACAACGUAACUGCCUGGGUAACCAAACCAAAGCAGUCAUUUUGUGUAUCCAUGGAGUAAGGUGAGGGAGGUGGCCCGAUCUGGAAAGGAAUGGCAAUAUGCCCCACGCCCUCCCCACCCAGGUUCACCUUCCCCAUCCUGGUGACUUGAUCCGUGUUCUGAAUAUCCACUGAACAAAAGGACCGACAAGAAGGAGGGCUACGCAUAUCUCCAAGGAGAACCACAGAAUUCACCACACCCAACUCGAGGGAGGGCAACCUUUAUAAAGAAGCUCAGAGCAGACAAGACCCACAGACGCCGAUUGAAAAUCCCACGGGACAAGGACAAGACCCAUAGACACCUACAGGACAAGCACGAUGUCGGGACAAUGUUCAAAGGAUCUCAACGAGAUAUACGACAUGUUGGACGCGGAUGGCAAUGGGAAGGUAACCAUUGAUGACAUAAAGAAACUUGGUGCGAGUAAGGACAAGACCCAUAGACACCUACAGGACAAGCACAAUGUCGGGACAAUGUUCAAAGGAUCUCAACAAAAUAUACGACAUGUUGGACGUGGUUGGUUGCUUUGUUUUAUUUAAAUUAUUCACACAUAUCCAAACAUCUCUCCUUGAAUUAUAACAGGACUCACAAUGUCCAUAAAGGGAAUGGUUCUUCCUUCUGUUAUAAUUUCGAGGUUUAUUUUUUCUUCUCAUGGUUUGUUUUCACUUGAACCAAGUUACUCGACAAGUGUGUACUUUGUUUAACUAAUCUCAGCUUUGGCUGUAACCUGUACCUGUACAGGUGGAUGAAAUGUGGUACAAUUAGCCAUUGAUGAGAGAUGUAGUGGUUACCUGCUCUGAAUCUGGAUAUUGCAUGACAUUGUAAUCGUGAAAUAUGUCCGUGUAUAAGACAUGCCAUGCAGGCUGCAGCGACAAACCAUGGGGUAACAUGCGUUAGUAAAGUGGAUGCAUUGAACAGUCGGACGAAAAAGAGAUUAUAAAAUGUGUGUGAUCUACAACAAACUCCCUGUGAUACACACUGAUGGGAAUUCAGUGAAAAGGAUUAAAAUUAAACAAUUAUUCUCUGCCCUCAGGAUGGCAAUGGGAAGGUAACCAUUGAUGACAUAAAGAAACUUGGUGCGAGUAAGGAUGAUUGGAAAUGUCUUCUUCAAGCCUUCGAUGCAGAUGGCGACAACAUUGUGUCAAGGAAAGGUGAGUCUAUCCUGCAGGGUAGAAGCACAUACACAUCUAAUGUGCUGUUCAAUUGUGUGAUGUAACAUGUUCAACAAGUAUUUCACAAUCUUCACUCGACUGCAA